CCUGUCGUCCACCAAGACCCCUAGAUCCUUUUCACAUGUACUGCUAGUAAGCCAGAUUGUCCACCCCCACCCCCUAUAUUUGUGCAUCUGGUUCUUCCCUCCUAAGUGCAGAACCUGACAUUUGUCCCUACUGCAAUUCAUUUUGUUAGCUGGGGCUCAAUGUAGGGUUGCAAAAAAGAGGACACAUUUGUUGACUUCUGCUCUUAACUAUGGAUCGCUAUGAUGACUCUGCC